AUCUCCAGACUAAAAACUGUAAAUUUUAUUUAUAUCAGGUCUCGAAUUUAUGUGGAAGGAAAAGUAGACUAUGGUGAAUAUACGGAUAAAAACAAUGUGAGGCGACAAGCAACAACAAUUAUAGCUGAUAACAUUAUAUUUCUGAGUGACCAGACAAAAGAGAAGGCAUAGAGUGGACGAUUCUUCUUUGGCCAUUGUUUGGUAUAGUCUCAUUUCCAAAUCAUGUAUAGUCUUUAUAGUUUCUAAGGACAAGAAUUAAAAUAUUCUUUUAUAUAAAAUGA